rnacentral:rRNA from 1 species
GUGUCAGCAGCCGCGGUAAUACCGGCAGCCCAAGUGAUGGCCGAUCUUAUUGGGCCUAAAGCGUCCGUAGCUGGCCGCGCAAGUCCAUCGGGAAAUCCACCUGCUCAACAGGUGGGCGCCCGGUAGAAACUGCGUGGCUUGGGACCGGAAGGCGCGACGGGUACGUCCGGGGUAGGAGUGAAAUCCCGUAAUCCUGGACGGACCGCCGAUGGCGAAAGCACGUCGCGAGAACGGAUCCGACAGUGAGGGACGAAAGCCAGGGUCUCGAACCG